rnacentral:rRNA from 1 species
ACCAUGGGAGUCGAUUGCUCCAGAAGUGGCUGCGCCAACCUCGCAAGAGGAGGCAGGUCCCCAAGGAGUGCUCGGUAACUGGGGUG